rnacentral:rRNA from 1 species
GACGAACGCUGGCGGCGUGCUUAACACAUGCAAGUCGAACGAUGAACUUGGAGCUUGCUCUGGGGGAUUAGUGGCGAACGGGUGAGUAACACGUGAGUAACCUGCCCUGGACUCUGGGAUAACUUCGAGAAAUCGGAGCUAAUACCGGAUAGGACCUUGCACCGCAUGGUGUGGGGUGGAAAGUUUUUCGGUUUGGGAUGGACUCGCGGCCUAUCAGCUUGUUGGUGAGGUAAUGGCUCACCAAGGCGUCGACGGGUAGCCGGCCUGAGAGGGUGACCGGCCACACUGGGACCGAGACACGGCCCAGACUCCUACGGGAGGAAGCAGUGGGGAAUAUUGCACAAUGGGCGCAAGCCUGAUGCAGCAACGCCGCGUGCGGGAUGACGGCCUUCGGGUUGUAAACCGCUUUUAGUAGGGAAGAAGCCUUCGGGUGACGGUACCUGCAGAAAAAGGACCGGCUAACUACGUGCCAGCCGCCGCCGUAAAAC